UGAUACGCGAAAAACCUUACCUAGGUUUGACAUGGACAGGAAUAAUGCAGAGAUGUAUUAGCCUUCAGGUCUGUUCACAGGUGCUGCAUGGCUGUCGUCAGCUCGUAUCGUGAGAUGUUGGGUUAAGUCCCGCAACGAGCGCAACCCUCACCCUAUGUUGCCAUCAUUCAGUUGGGCACUUGUAGGGAACUGCCGAUGACAAAUCGGAGGAAGGUGGGGAUGACGUCAAGUCCUCAUGGCCUUUAUAUCUAGGGCUACACACGUGCUACAAUGGCAGAUACAGAGAGUCGCUAAAUCGCGAGGUCAAGCAAAUCUCUCAAAGUCUGUCUCAGUUCGGAUUGGAGUCUGCAACUCGACUCC
rnacentral:rRNA from 1 species